AACGCACAUUGCGCUCUCUGGCAUUCCGGAGAGCAUGCCUGUUUGAGUAUCGGUAAAUCCUCUCGAACCAAAUAUUUAUUUUUUGGUUUGGAUAUGAGUUAUCCCAUCUACACUUUUCUUCCAAAGAGAAGUUCUUCUGGGUGACUUUAAAGGAAUUGUUUGGCUCGCAACACCGAAAAAAGGGUCCGGGCGACCGAAAAGCGUGACAAGGACUCUUUCUGUGAAUGGCUCUGGCUAUUUUGGAGAAGUUUUCAAGACGCUGAACUCGUGUUCGUUUUUCUCCGGUUCCCGCAGUGUCGCGGCUUGCCUUCUCCCAACUUUUACCCAACACAAACCGUCGUUUUUUUCGGCGCUUGUGAACUUGAUCUCAAAUCAGGCAAGACUACCCGCUGAACUUAA
rnacentral:misc_RNA from 1 species